AUUGAACGCUGGCGGCAUGCCUUACACAUGCAAGUCGAACGGCAGCACGGGAGCAAUCCUGGUGGCGAGUGGCGAACGGGUGAGUAAUAUAUCGGAACGUGCCCAGUAGUGGGGGAUAACUGCUCGAAAGAGCAGCUAAUACCGCAUACGACCUGAGGGUGAAAGCGGGGGAUCGCAAGACCUCGCGCUAUUGGAGCGGCCGAUAUCAGAUUAGCUAGUUGGUGAGGUAAGGGCUCACCAAGGCGACGAUCUGUAGCUGGUCUGAGAGGACGACCAGCCACACUGGGACGGAGACACGGCCCAGACUCCUACGGGAGGCAGCAGUGGGGAAUUUUGGACAAUGGGCGCAAGCCUGAUCCAGCCAUGCCGCGUGCGGGAAGAAGGCCUUCGGGUUGUAAACCGCUUUUGUCAGGGAAGAAACGGCUCCUACUAAUACUGGGGGCUAAUGACGGUACCUGAAGAAUAAGCACCGGCUAACUACGCGCCAGCCGCCGCCGUAA
rnacentral:rRNA from 1 species